CUUUUUCCCUUUUCUCUGCCUCUUCUUUUUCUUUAUCUUAUAUCGACCAACCAACGAUACUCUUAAGCGUUGCGAUCACCGGAUGAAAACUGCCAGUGAUCGAAAGAAUCGACUUUCUUUAUAUAUCCAUUCGAGAAGAGAGCAAAUAAUACUUCUCCACUUCCAAGCUUCUUCCAAAUCCAGUUUCUAACUUGAUCUACAACGUCUCGGACGCGCCUUGCUCCUUUCUCCUUUUUCUCUCUUUCUACAAGCCAACAAUCUUAUCCCGUAGCGACUACGUAUGUUGGUAGAUAAAGAUAUUUAAUCGUCUCUCCCUAAAAAUUCUAAUUGUUUAAACCGUUUAAAAUUGUUAAGAGAUUUUUUUGCUAUUAUACUUUGUAUCUCGUAUUUUGUAUCUUUUAAAUCGACGAUCGACCAUGCAAAUGGAAAGAUAACGUUUUUUCUUUUUCUUCCCAUUUUUUUCCGGAAAGUUUCUUCAAAGUUACACCGUGAAAAUUCAAUAGUGUCUUUGAGAAAAGGAAAUGAAUGGUAAAGGGGUACAAUAAAGGGAAAAAGUUUCCAACCGCGAAUCGGAAACGUGUCGCUCGAAAACGUCAACUGGAUUCUAGUAAUUUGAAAAGUUUUCCUUCGCACUUUUCUUUCCUUUUUUUUCUUUUGAAAUGUACGACGAGCUUUUUCUUUGUAUUAAGUCAAGAAGGAGAUGCUAUCAAGUUAAUAGCGCGUCAAACGGUUUCGUAUGAACAGGAUAAAGAUUCUUUUUUUAUCAAUCUUUUUUUUAUCGCGUAAAAUAAGCUACGAUUGUGUUUUAAAAACGUUUAUACAAAUGUAACAUAUAUAUUCGAAUUUUAAAAUAUACAGAGUAAAAUUGUUACUUUCAAUAUUAUCGACGAACGUAUUAGCGUACACGUUUACAUUUUUUUUUCCUAUUGAUGAUAAAGAUUCAAUAAGUAUAAUAACAUAAAAGUGUACACACGAAUGUAUGUAGGUAUAUGUUUAUAUACAAUAUUCUUUGGUGAGUCAUCUCUAAUAUAGAUUUAUACGAAGUAAUGUGACCUCUAUGUUUUUGUUUCUUCUGUACUUUGUCCUUUAUGUUACGCUUAGCUCCAUCAGUCGUAAUCAGACCAUAGGAGAAUAAAGGAAAUAGUGACACAGAUGAAAGGUAAGAAGCUUCUCCUUCCGGAAUGAAAUUGACUGGUGUGCUAUUAUUGACUGCCUUCGUACAUUGACUUCGAUACUGCUUACGAAACUCUGAUCGGCUUUAAAUCAGAUUGGUGAUUUUAUUCGAGCAUGUCAAUGCCAGGACAGUCAGGCGCUCUGAAAGCAAAGUUAUGAUACGGUUAUAGUCGACCACACGGACACCCACCCGGCUUACUACGACGGAUAUUACCGAAUGCUUUCGAAAGCUCGUAUUUUAGGGUUUGCACGAUGAAUAUCAAACAGUAGCUCUCUCUCUCUCUCUCU